rnacentral:pre_miRNA from 1 species
CUCAUGAGAUGCUCAGUAGUCAGUGUAGAUCCUGUGUCACAAUCAGCAGCUACAUCUGGCUACUGGGUCUCUGAUGGCAUUU